rnacentral:rRNA from 1 species
UACCAGCUCUCCGAGUGGUGUGGAUGUUUAUUGGGCCUAAAGCAUCCGUAGCUGGCUGGACAAGUCCCCUGUUAAAUCCACCGAUUUAAUCGUUGGUGUGCGGGGGAUACUGUUCGGCUAGGGGACGGGAGAGGCAGACGGUAUUUUCGGGGUAGGGGUGAAAUCCUAUAAUCCCGGGAAGACCACCAGUGGCGAAGGCUGUCUGCUAGAACGCGCCCGACGGUGAGGGAUGAAAGCUGGGGGAGCGAACCGGAUUAGAUACCCGGGUAGUCCCAGCUGUAAACGAUGCAGGCUAGGUGUUUGGACGGCCACGUGCCGUUCUAGUGCCGCAGGGAAGCCGUUUAGCCUGCCGCCUGGGGAGUACGGCCGCAAGGCUGAAACUUAAAGGAAUUGGCGGGGAGCACCACAAGGGUGAAGCUUGCGGUUU